ACGGGGUGCACAGGCGCGAAAACUUUACACUACACGAAAGUGUGAUAAGGGAAUUCCAAGUGUGCUUAUACCAUAAGCACUUUUUCGGAGCGCAAAAAGCUCCGGGAAUAAGGGGUGGGCAAGACUAGUGCCAGCCGCCGCGGUAAAACUAGCAUCUCGAGUGGCAGUCACAAUUAUUGGGCUUAGAGCGUCCGUAGCUCGUUCGGAAAGUCUCUGGUGAAAUCCUACGGCUUAACCGUAGGGCGCGCCGGAGAAACUACCGAGCUAGAGGGCAGGAGAGGUCGGGGGUACGUCUGGGGUAGGGGUGAAAUCCUAUAAUCCUAGACGGACCAACAGUGGCGAAGGCGCCCGACAUGAAUGCGCCUGACAGUGAGGGACGAGAGCCAAGAGCGCGAAACGGAUUAGAUACCCGUGUAGUCUUGGCCGUAAACGAUGCCGACUAGGUGGGGUGUGACCUUAGUGGUCAUGCUAUGCCGAAGGGAAACUGUUAAGUUGGCCGCCUGGGGAGUACGCUCGCAAGGGUGAAACUUAAAGGAAUUGGCGGGGGAGCAC
rnacentral:rRNA from 1 species